ACAAAACUAUUUCAAUAAAAAGAUAUGUUAUAAGCACGAGUCGGACGAAACCUUAAUAAAAUGCCAAGGCAUGUUUGGUAUUUGGUGUUUGUGUUGAAGCUGCUCAAAAGCUAGGCUCUGCAUACCUCUUUAUGUUAUCUAGAAUUCCAAGUAUUUGUGCUUUCAUUAUAGUCCUGUUUGCUUUUGUUGCCUUGUAGUCUUUAUGUUAUGGUCG
rnacentral:lncRNA from 1 species